rnacentral:snoRNA from 1 species
AAGACAAUACUUUUUGGACUCAUUGCUAUAGGUGGUUAUGGGAGAACUUUCUCGGGGCCUGUCGAGUUCUGGGGACCAAGCAGAGGCACCGCCUUCUCUCCUGAGAGAGAGAAGCUGGCUUUGUUGUUUAGCCACAACUGCCAUUGCUAUUAAUGAUCACUGUCCUCUGGGGGGAGGGGGGGAGAAGGAUGUCAUCUGA